GACGAACGCUGGCGGCGUGCUUAACACAUGCAAGUCGAACGGAAAGGCCUGCUUUCCCUUGUGGAUUGCGGGUACUCGAGUGGCGAACGGGUGAGUAACACGUGAGUGAUCUGCCCCCAACUUGGGUAUAAGCCUGGGAAACUGGGUCUAAUUCCCGAUAGGACUGCAGGGUGGUGCCUGUGGUGGAAAACGAUUUUCUAGUGGUUGGGGAUGAGCUCGCGGCCUAUCAGCUUGUUGGUGGGGUAAUGGCCUACCGAGGCGGCGACGGGUAGCCGGCCUGAGAGGGUGGACGGCCACAUUGGGACUGAGAUACGGCCCAGACUCCUACGGGAGGCAGCAGUGGGGAAUAUGGCACAAUGGGCGGAAGCCUGAUGCAGCGACGCCGCGUGGGGGAUGACGGCCUUCGGGUUGUAAACUCCUUUCGACCGCGAGGAAGCCACCUGGUUGGAAGGGUGGUGACGGUAGUGGUAGAAGAAGCACCGGCUAACUACGUG
rnacentral:rRNA from 1 species